GCAACCUACCUUAUACGAGGGGAAUAACCUUUCGAAAGGGAAGACUAACACCCAUAGUAUUGAUUUAAGGCAUCGUUAGAUUAAGUUAAAUAUUUAUAGGUAUAAGAUGGGCAUGCGUAUGAUUAGCUAGUUGGUAAGGUAACGGCGUUAACCAAGGCGACGAUCAUUAGGGGUUCUGAGAGGAAGGUCCCCCACACUGGUACUGAGACACGGACCAGACUCCUACGGGAGGCAGCAGUGAGGAAUAUUGGUCAAGUGGGCGCAAGCCUGAACCAGCCAUGCCGCGUGCAGGAAGAACCGGCCUUAUGGGUUGUAACUGCUUUUACAUAAGACUAACCGUAUAUUUGCGAAUAUACCUGAAUGUAUUAUGAGAAUAAGGAUCGGCUAACUCCGUGCCAGCAGCAGC
rnacentral:rRNA from 1 species